rnacentral:rRNA from 1 species
UACGGGGUGCAGCAGGCGCGAAACCUUUACACUGCACGACAGUGCGAUAGGGGGACUCCGAGUGUGAGGGCAUAUAGCCCUCGCUUUUCUGCACCGUAAGGUGGUGCAAGAAUAAGGACUGGGCAAGACCGGUGCCAGCCGCCGCGGUAAUACCGGCAGUCCAAGUGAUGGCCGAUAUUAUUGGGCCUAAAGCGUCCGUAGCUUGCUGUGUAAGUCCAUUGGGAAAUCGACCAGCUCAACUGGUCGGCGUCCGGUGGAAACUACACAGCUUGGGGCCGAGAGACUCAACGGGUACGUCCGGGGUAGGAGUGAAAUCCUGUAAUCCUGGACGGACCACCAAUGGGGAAACCACGUUGAGAGACCGGACCCGACAGUGAGGGACGAAAGCCAGGGUCUCGAACCGGAUUAGAUACCCGGGUAGUCCUGGCUGUAAACAAUGCUCGCUAGGUAUGUCACGCGCNCAUGAGCANCGUGAUGUGCCGUAGUGAAGACGAUAAGCGAGCCGCCUGGGAAGUACGUCCGCAAGGAUGAAACUUAAAGGAAUUGGGNGGGGGA